UGCGUGUGUGUAUGUGUAUGUGUGUGUGUGUGUGUGUGUACACACACACACACACACAUACAUAUACAUACACAAA
rnacentral:miRNA from 1 species